UACGAAGGGGGCUAGCGUUGCUCGGAAUUACUGGGCGUAAAGCGUGCGCAGGCGGCCUUCCAAGUCAGGGGUGAAAGCCCAGAGCUCAACUCUGGAAUUGCCUUUGAGACUGUGAGGCUUGAGUACGGGAGAGGUGAGUGGAAUUCCCAGUGUAGAGGUGAAAUUCGUAGAUAUUGGGAAGAACACCGGUGGCGAAGGCGGCUCACUGGCCCGAAACUGACGCUCAUGCACGACAGCGUGGGGAUCAAACAGG
rnacentral:rRNA from 1 species